AAGGACUUCAAGUCUAUCUAAAGAAGAAUCAGAUGUCCUCUGCCGAGUUAGGGAAACCAAAAGAGACCGCUACCACUAGGGGGCACUGCAUGGCUGCAGGCAUCAUGGACAGAACAGGCCCAAAUCUGGCAUACAAAAGUCAUCAUGUGGCCCGCUCAGGAAUCAUUGUGAAAGGAUCAUUUGCAUAAGACUCAAGCAGGUUGGACAAGCAAAACCAAUGCCCGAAGCUAUUCAAGAGUGCGGCACCAGCAUGUACUCGGUUCUGGUGAAGACCCUCUGGCUAUAUCACAGUAUGGCUGACAGCAUCAUGCUGUACUCCCGUGCAAGAGGAAGCAGCCACAUGUUGAGUUAGAGAAACUCAGAAACCAGGUUUGCUCUCUGAUAACAAUUCACUGGUGCAAGCCAGGCAGUGGUGGCGCACGCCUUUAAUCCCA